rnacentral:lncRNA from 1 species
UAUAUAUAUAUAUAUAUAUACACAAAAAAAAAAAUAGGGAGAACAUAAACAUAACUCAGUGUCCGCACAAAAAUGGAGGACGACUCAAACAAUCAACUUUUAGCUAAUCCUAGCAAACUGAUUAGAAGUUUACAAUCUGGGGACUAAUCAUCAACAUUGAACCAAUCCAAGAACAAACAACUUUUUGCAACGAGCAGCAAGCAAAAUGACUUUUUACUUUUUUCUUUAAUAAAUUUUUAACUUUGGGGAAUAACAAUGCAUAAAAUUUUACAUGGAAAAUCAAAGUUAGGAAUUUCACUCCUCUUUUGAUCUUAUGAACCCUUGCCGCUACAACCUAAGAACACAGAUUUUGAAGCUGCACUUGCAAAGUUCAAAACUCAGUUGCUUUAGGCAUAACUAAAGAUAUAGUUACAAUCAGGUAGACCUAAAACAACAGUGUUUUGAACCGUUGCAACUGCAGUUUCAAAAUUUGUUAUGUUAGACUUUAGCCGCGAGAGUUCAUAAGAUGAAGAAAGGAGAGAAAUUCCUAACUUUAAGGUUCCAUGUAAAAUUUUAUACAUUUGUUAUUUCAAAAAGCUAAAAUUUUAUUAAAGAAGAAACAAAAAGAGGAGAGGGAGGACAUAUAAACCUAUCCUAGAACCCCGUCUUCUAAAAGUUGAUAAACUGAUCAAAGAAAUCACAGUUGUUUGCAAUUUGGAAUCACUUGAUACUUUUGAACCUUUUAUUUUAUCUCCAAAAUAGUAUCAUAGAAGCCUCUGCCAAUUAAGAAUGGUAUUCCUCGGGCGUCAAUCUUCAAAUUUCUCCGGAGAGUAAUUGGUGCGAUGUAUUUGUACUCCUCAAAGAAAGACUACAUAUUUGACCUCUCGUUUGCAAUGUGAGCUUUAUCUGCAAAAUGUCAUAGAAAAGUUACGAAAAAAACAAUAACAAAAAAUAAUUAUNNNNNNNNNNNNNNNNNNNNNNNNNNNNNNNNNNNNNNNNNNNUAUAUAUAUAUAUAUAUAUAUAUAUUGAUACAUUAUACUCCCUCCGUCCCAAAAUAUAAGCAAAAAUGAGUCAAUAAAACUUAAUGUAUUUGGACUAAAUUUUACACCAAAUACAUCAACUUUUGUUGACUAGUUUUUGCUUAUAUUUUAGGGCGGAGUUUAAUAGAGUAAAACUAUUCGACUGAGGUAAUCCUCUAUAGCUUCACAAAAAUGAAUUAAAUUAUAAAAGAAUAUCAUUUGUGAAUGAGAAAUAGUAAAGAGAAAUUAACCCACUUGGGGUUGGUCGAGUGGUGUUGGCUUGGGCCCUUGGAGUAUGCUCCUCUCAAGGUCUAAGGUUCGAUUCCCACUGGUGCCAAUUUCGGUGGGUUAAGUCCAUACAGAGCAAAAAAACUCUGGCUUUAAAUGUGACCCCCGCAAGUGGGCGGUGGGAUUGGUCCCCUUGGAUUAGUCGGUCCUAAGGCCGGAUACCAAGUUUUCAAAAAAAAAAAGUAAAGAGAAAUUUCCAAACCUUAUGCAAACUCGAGAGAGGUUGUCAUAUUUUGGAGAAGUGAAUUACAA